rnacentral:ncRNA from 1 species
AUAAAGUUUAAUUUUAGUUUAAUAAUUUAUUUAAUUUUUUUUUUACAUGUAAGUUUUAGCGGGAUUAUAAUAAUAAUUUAAAUAAUUAUUAUUAAAAAUUUUAUUCGCAGUAUAAAGUUUUAUUAAUUUAAGAAAUUGAGAAUUAUGAAUAAAUUUAAAUAUUAACAAAAUUUGUGCCAGCAGUUGCGGUUAUACAAAAAAUAUAAAUAAAUUUUAUUAGUAAAUAAUAAAGUGAGUUUAAUUUAAUAAAAAUAAAAUUUAUAAAGUGAAAUUUAAAAUUUUUAAUAAUUAUAAUUAAAAUUAUUGAUAUUAUGAAAUUUAUAAUAUAAACUAGGAUUAGAUACCCUAUUAUUAUAAAUGUUAAUUUUUACUAAAGUAGUAUUAGUUAUGAUCUUGAAAUUUAAAAAUUUUGGCGGUAUUUUAGUCUAUUCAGAGGAACCUGUUCUAUAAUUGAUAGUCCACGAUAAAUUUUACUUUAUUUAAUAGUUUAUAUAUCGUCGUUAUUAAAUAUUUUAUUAGAAUUAUAAUAUUUAAGAUUUUUAAUUUAAAAAUAUAUCAGAUCAAGGUGUAGUUUAUAAUAAAGAAGAAAUGGGUUACAAUAAAUUUAUUUAUGGAUUUUUAUAUAAAAAUUUAGAAUGAAAUUGGAUUUGAUAGUAAUAAAUUUUAUAUUUAAUUUAUGAUUAAAGCUCUAAAAUGUGUACAUAUCGCCCGUCACUCUUAUUAUAAGAUAAGAUAAGUCGUAACAUAGUAGAUGUACUGGAAAGUGUAUCUAGAAUGA